rnacentral:rRNA from 1 species
AGAGUUUGAUGGUGGCUCAGGAUGAACGCUGGCGGCGUGCCUAAUACAUGCAAGUCGAGCGAGAUGUUAGCGCAUGAACCUUCGGGGGAUUAUGCUAACGGACAGCGGCGGACGGGUGAGUAACGCGUAGGCAACCUGCCCCUGACAGAGGGAUAGCCAUUGGAAACGAUGAUUAAAACCUCAUGACACCGUAGAAGCACAUGCUUCAUCGGUCAAAGAUUUAUCGGUCAGGGAUGGGCCUGCGUCUGAUUAACUAGUUGGUGAGGUAACGGCUCACCAAGGUGACGAUCAGUAGCCGACCUGAGAGGGUGAUCGGCCACAUUGGAACUGAGACACGGUCCAAACUUCUACGGAAGGCAGCAGUAGGGAAUCUUGCACAAUGGGCGAAAGCCUGAUGCAGCAACGCCGCGUGAAGGAUGAAGGCCUUCGGGUUGUAAACUUCUGUUCUAAGGGAAGAAACAAAUGACGGUACCUUAGGAGCAAGCCCCGGCUAACUACGUGCCAGCAGCCGCGGUAAUACGUAGGGGGCAAGCGUUAUCCGGAAUUAUUGGGCGUAAAGAGUGCGUAGGUGGUUACCUAAGCGCAAGGUUUAAUUUAGAGGCUCAACCUCUACUUGCCUUGCGAACUGGGCUACUUGAGUGCAGGAGGGGAAAGCGGAAUUCCUAGUGUAGCGGUGAAAUGCGUAGAUAUUAGGAGGAACACCAGCGGCGAAGGCGGCUUUCUGGACUGUAACUGACACUGAGGCACGAAAGCGUGGGUAGCAAACAGGAUUAGAUACCCUGGUAGUCCACGCCGUAAACGAUGAGCACUAGGUGUUGGCCCGUUAGGGCUCAGUGCCGCAGUUAACGCAAUAAGUG